rnacentral:rRNA from 1 species
UACGAAGGGGGCUAGCGUUGCUCGGAAUUACUGGGCGUAAAGCGCACGUAGGCGGUCUUUUAAGUCGGGGUGAAAUCCUGGAGCUCAACUCCAGAACUGCCUUCGAUACUGGAAGACUCGAGUCCGGGAGAGGUGAGUGGAACUGCGAGUGUAGAGGUGAAAUUCGUAGAUAUUCGCAAGAACACCAGUGGCGAAGGCGGCUCACUGGCCCGGUACUGACGCUGAGGUGCGAAAGCGUGGGGAGCAAACAGGG